CCCUUAGAUGUUCUGGGCCACACGCGCGUUACACUGAUGAAGCCAGCGAGUAUAUCGCCUUCACCGGAAGGUGCGGGUAAUCUUGUGAAACUUCAUCGUGCUGGGGAUAGACCAUUGCAAUUAUUGGUCUUGAACGAGGAAUUCCUAGUAAGCAUGAGUCAUCAACUCGUGCUGAUUACGUCCCUGCCCUUUGUACACACCGCCCGUCGCUACUACCGAUUGAAUGGUUUAGUGAGAUCUCGGGAUUGGAGACGUUGCGCCGCAAGGCACAUCGUCCUCGAGAACUUGAUCAAACUUGAUCAAUUAGAGGAAGUAAAAGUCGUAACA
rnacentral:rRNA from 1 species